CACCAGCGGCGCGUUCUGGCGGCGCUGCCUGGGCGCGGGCGUGCGCCUGCUGCGCGCCACGCUGGCGCUCACGGGCCCGCCCGCGCUGCUACACGCGGACCCCGUCGUGCGCACGCUCGUCGAUACAUUAAGCACGGCAGCGGGCGCCGCUCCUGGGCCCAGCGCCGCCGCCGCCGCCGCCGCGCUGUCCGAGACCUUACCGCGCUCGGGCCGCCUGCGCGCAGAAGCGCUUAAACGACUGUCGCAGCUGGCGCAAGUGGCGCUCUCGCGGCUGGAAACUGACAACCCGCUGCAUUUAAAAGCAUUGGAUCAAGCCCGCUCGGUUAUAGCAGAGGCGCGCGCCAUGGAGUAAAAUUGUGUCCGAAUGCUCGAGUUUGACUCGCAUGGCGGAUGCUCUUUAGAGAAGUAAGCUGCUGUAUAUAAAUUGGUAUUGAAAUAAUCAAACCAUAACAAUGACAUUGACUUAACAAAAUGACAGUAAAAAAUAAUGAAGUUUACAAAGAUACCGUGACUGAAAAACUGACAAGUUUUCUUCCAAGUAGAUUUGGAUAGUAUUGAAUUAUUUAUUCAAAGUUACAGCACAGCUAGAAGUUGGUUUUGACACAUAUACAGGGUGUUAGGUAAAUGGGUAUAUGAGCCGACACUAGCACGUGUUAACAUGGGCAUAUAAAUGGUAUGGUGAAGUCAGAAAAUCGAUAUCUUCAUUUUAAUUAUUUUAAUUUUCAUACAAAUCGGAAUUUAUAAAAUUUAUUUUGUAUGAAAAUUAAAAAAAUUAAAAUCAUGAUAUCAAAUUUCUGACUUCACCAUACCAUUUAUAUGCCCAUGUUAACAUAGGCUAGUGUCGGCUCAUAUACCCAUUUACCUAACACCCUGUAUAACACACAACUUCCAAUAGCCCUUAAAUUAACUUUAAGCUUCAGCAGCUUUGUCGUUGAUAAGUGAAUGAAAGGAUUGUUAGAAUGAGUCGGGACAAUUUGAAACUAGCCCCCUUAUUAAUACAAGUUACUUACACGCUCAUUGAACAGUGUUUUAUAGUUCAGUAUGGAAACGUCAUUUUAAAACAACAAGCGUGUAACUUUUUAUUAGUUAGGGGUUACUGUCAAAUAGUCUUGAUUGUAUCCCAUUUGAAGUACUAUUUAUUAACCGUAAGAAGAUAUGAGCUUUUAUAUGAUAUCUCACAGCAAUAUUGAAAUAAAUUUCAUUGGACCACGAAUUAAAAGUAAUUUUGUUAUAGCCAAUCGAUUUUGAAAGGCUUCAAUUGUCAUGAUUGUUACAAAAUCAAAAACUAACAAGAUGUUUGCACAGCGUCUUUUUCUAACGCUAAGAAAUGAUGAAUUGGAACGUUAUUUCCUCUAUCAUAGAGGAACUACUUACACAAAUCAAGUGUAAUAAAUUAAAAUAUUUUGCACCUCAGCAGAAUUGAUAGGAAAUGUUUGUGAACCCGAUUUGAGCGCUAUGUGAAUGAUAAUCCGAUAGCUAGUGAUAAUGUAUAUAAGCAACGUGAAAUGGCUUCUUGUGUGAGGGAUAAAUAAAUGAUAAUUUUUUAA